GUAAGAGAUGGCAGGAAUGUAUCUCACUCCUAUCCCACUCGAUAAAGAGAGUAAACAAUGUGAAGAGAGACCAAAAGAGGAGGUCAGAAGAAAGGCGGAAAGAGGAGAGAACAUUAGAGGAAAAGAAAGGAAAUAAAGGCGGAGGAAUUAAAGAUACAGAAGGAAAAGACCGAAGCGGGAAAAUAAUAAAAUACAUGAGGAAAGCAAGAUAUAGAUAGAUGUACAGAUAGAAAGAAAGAUAGAUAGAAAAACAGAUAGGUAGAUAGAUAGAUAGAUAGAUAGAGAGAUAGAUAGAUAGACAGAUGGAUAGAUUGAGAGAUAGGAGAGAGAAUGAAAAAAACAACAACACUUGCCGCUAUGUGCAAUGAAAUAGAAUCCCAGAACAACAAACAAACGGCCCCACAACUGCAUUAUGAAACCUGACAAGUACUGGGUAGGGUUUACACAAGGGGGGGGGUCGGGGAGAGAGAGAGAGAGAGAGAGAGAGAGAGAGAGAGAGAGAGAGAGAGAGAGAGAGAGAGAGAGAGAAUAAAAAAGUAAACAAUAUACACACCAGGAAAGAAAAAGUGAGGUGUCAAGCAGGACAGAGUAGUCGUGAGGCAGGCUGAAGCAGGCUGAGGUAGGUUAAGGGAGGCAGUCUGGACACAUCCAUUAUUCCUCCCUCGCUGCUGAUCACACAAAGCCGCGAUGGUCCUAUGGUCUGUUGCAUUUAAUCGGUCCAUCGCCAAAGCGGGAAUUUUGAUGGAUGUUGCACCUGCGUAUUUCUAGUUCUUGAAUACGUGAAAAUCAACUGCUGUGAUUGAUAUUAAAGCUACUGUUUGUGUAUACCCCCAAAAUUCAAUCCAUAUAAAUUCCAAACAUACAGAUUAGCAUCGAUAAUACACCAUACAAGCACACGAGAGGACAAGUUUGUAUCAAAAGGUAUAGUCAGAUCAUACGCAAACGAUCUAUGCUAUGGCCUUUCAAAUGCCUAUAAUUAAUUUAAUUUUAGGUACAUUAGAAGACAUAUGGUUCCGCAAAUGCAAGUAAAGGGUAUUGUGAUAUUCGAAAUAACAUGAAAUAUUAAAUAACAGUUGAGUAUGAUGCUAGGCUAUUUUGAAUGUUACCCACGUUAUACACAUGUAACAAAUCAUCAAAAUUCCUUAUGUAUAGAGGCACUUGCAGAACCAGGUGUCAUUAUAUGUCCCUACAAUGAGAUGAAUUAUAGGUAUUUGGAACACUGAUCUCUAAACAAUACAGACCAGUGAUUUGAAAGCCAAUAGAGCGUUCGAGUAUGAUCUGAAUAUACUGUUUGAUACAAGCUUGUCUUUUCAUGUGCUUGUGUGGCAGAUUAUCGAUGUAAAUCUGCAUGUUUGCGAUUUAUAUAAGAGGUUUUGAGGGUUCUUUGUAUACACAAGCACUCAAAUGAAGGACCAAGAAUAAAAAGUUGAUCUACAAGCAAUCAUGACCUUACAAUGCGCAGGUGCCACAUCCACUUUCGUGAGUGGAGAGACGUAAUGAAACAGACAAAACACUUUGAAUAACGAGGCAGGACUGAGACAGGUGCGAGGCAGGAACAGGUGUGAGGCAUGUAAGGGUGAGGCACAGGUGAGGCAGGCACAGGUGAGGCAGGCACAGGUGUGGCAGGCAGUAGGACAGAACGCUUACCCGGGCCUCGAGUCGGUGUCUGAUGGCCAGCACGGUCUCCCUGAAGGCCUUGGGCAGCAGAGGCAGGUCGGCGCCUCGGUCUGCGGCGGGACACAUUUUUUAGUCACUUUUUC